rnacentral:sRNA from 1 species
ACACGAGAAGGGAGGUGGUUCGGAGCAUGAUUUCUUUCCGGACGCGUGAGGUGACUGCGGGCUAGCGCCCGUCGUCGCGUUACAGCGCAACGCCGGGUCCCGAGGCCGUUCGGCCAUGGGGAAGCCGGCCAAUCCCAAGCAGUCACCCGAUCCGUGGGCCGCCGAGUCGUCCGCUCGGCACCGGCGCGCCGUCAAGGCGCGGCCGGUAGCGGGCCCACGGAUCGUCUGCG